ACAAUCACCAGUCCCUCCAUGGAGUCUUACUUGUUCUGAUCAUCUUGCUAAUCAGGGUCGGGCCUGGUUAGUACUUGGACGGGUAGAUCACCUGGGAAGACCAGGUGCUGUAUGUU
rnacentral:rRNA from 1 species